rnacentral:rRNA from 1 species
CUACGGGUGGCACCAGUGAGGAAUAUUGCGCAAUGGGGGCAACCCUGACGCAGCGACGCCGCGUGGAUGAUGAAGGCCUUCGGGUCGUAAAAUCCUGUCAGAUGGAAAGAAGUGCGAGGUGGUUAAUACCCAUUUCGUUUGACGGUACCAUCAGAGGAAGCACCGGCUAACUCCGUGCCAGCAGCCGCGGUAAUACGGAGGGUGCAAGCGUUGUUCGGAAUUACUGGGCGUAAAGCGCGCGUAGGCGGUUUGUUAAGUCAGAUGUGAAAGCCCACGGCUCAACCGUGGACGUGCAUUUGGAACUGGCAGACUUGAGUAUUGGAGGGGGUGGUGGAAUUCCCGGUGUAGAGGUGAAAUUCGUAGAUAUCGGGAGGAAUACCGGUGGCGAAGGCGACCACCUGGCCAAAUACUGACGCUGAGGUGCGAAAGCGUGGGGAGCAAACAGGAUUAGAUACCCUAGUAGUC